AACGACUCUUGGCAAUGGAUAUCUCGGCUCUUGUAUUGAUGAAGCACAUAGCGAAAUUCGAUACUUGGUGUGAAUUAUAGAAUCUUGUGAACCAUCAAGUCUUUGAAUGCAAGUUGCACUUGAAGCCAUUAGGCCGAGGGCACGUCUGGCUAGGUGUCACGUAACG
rnacentral:rRNA from 1 species